rnacentral:piRNA from 1 species
UGCUAGAUUCAUUGAUUAACUUUGGCAGG